GGCACAUUCAAAAGAUAUUUCAACUUUUUGUGGAAGGUUACUUGAGGAAACUGAAGAUGACUUUUCAGAAUUGAUAAAGAAAGGGUCCAUUAAAGUUGGCGAAGUAGGCAAGGUUUUAUGCCAAGACCUCGGCAGAUACUGUAAGCAGACAAGUGAUUACCAAAAUGCUGGCGACGAUGAGGAAGAAUACAGAGACACAGAACUAUAAGUCUGCAUAAUGUUUACAUAGGAAAACAUUUGCAGACUUGCGACUCUUCUACAGGCGAACUUUUGAAUUUGUGAUUGUUUUUCCUCCUUAAUUCCUUUUUAUUUAUGAUGGCGGAAGAUUCCUUCAUUUUACCCAUGCAUUACUUUGUUCUCCCGAUUGUUGUUGUUCUAGAAGCAUAUUAUGAUGACUUGUAAACUAAAAUUUCAGUUACAAGUUAGCGACUUAACGAGAAAGUUUUGCAUUGAUUGUCUUUGUUAUGCGUUUGUGCAUGCAAAUUCUUGAAAAAUACAUACACAUUUCUGAUU